rnacentral:rRNA from 1 species
ACGAACGCUGGCGGCAUGCCUAACACAUGCAAGUCGAACGGGACCUUCGGUCUAGUGGCGCACGGGUGCGUAACGCGUGGGAAUCUGCCCUCAGGUACGGAAUAACUCAGGGAAACUUGAGCUAAUACCGUAUAAUGACUUCGGUCCAAAGAUUUAUCGCCUGAGGAUGAGCCCGCGUAGGAUUAGCUUGUUGGUGAGGUAAAGGCUCACCAAGGCGACGAUCCUUAGCGGG